rfam:Gossypium raimondii Chr08_contig_801, whole genome shotgun sequence.
GAUAACAGGCUGAUGACUCCCAAGAGCUCUUAUCGAUGGAGUCGUUUGGCACCUCGAUCGACUCAUCACAUCUUGGGGUUGAAGAAGGUCCCAAGGGUUCGGUUGUUCACCGAUUCAAGUGGUACGUGAGUUGGGUUUAGAACGUCGUGAGACAGUUC